CCGCGGGACACCCCUCCCCAACGAGGGGCGUAUAUCUGGAAGGGUAACACCA
rnacentral:ncRNA from 1 species